rnacentral:lncRNA from 1 species
GGGAAGAGGCUGGCAUAGAGUUCCCAGGGGGUACCCAGCAGACAGACAGCUCUGUAAUUUGGGGGAGAAGAAGAGUUGUCCUUUUUGUGUACUGGAUAGGCUGUGCUCUGAGCCCGUUCCAUGAAUUAAGAUCACUCAGUUACUUUGCAAGGAAGGAGUCCAGAACAUCAACCAGAAGAGGGUAUAAAUAAUUCUGGAGGGAAAAGAGCAUCUUUCCAGGAACCUCUGCAUCUGAAGGGCACCACUGUCUUGCCCAACCGGGCCUCAGUGCUCUAUGAUCCUGAGUGUUGGGAGACUCCCCUGACAGUUCGACUCUGGCCACUUCCUGGACAAGGACAGAAACUUCAUGGUCAGUGAAGCCUUCCUGCCAUUCUCUGCAUCUCCUUAAGCAUAAGCAUCUCUCCCUAGCUAGGGAUUGAUUGCUGGCCUGCUGUGACCACCCACCUUGAGACCACAGACCUGCUACCUGCUGUGCUCAUCAAUUGCUGCCUGAAUCCUGUGCCGGCUAGGCAAUCUCGUGACUGUUGUAAAAGGGACAUUCCAAGCGUAUGUGAUACAUGCUCUUUGACAGUGUAUAACCACUCUGUACACCCCCACUUCUUUGGAGUGCGCCAUUCCUUUGUGAAAGGACUCUACCAAGAGUCUAUAUGGUCCUCAGACCUGGCUCAUAAUAAACUCA